CGUGGUGCAGAGGUUAGCAUGUCGGCCUAUGAUGCCGAAUCCGGGUUCAAAUCCCUGCG
rnacentral:tRNA from 1 species